rnacentral:pre_miRNA from 1 species
GGCCCCUGCCCUCUAGAAGCUCACAGUCUAGUUGUGUUCAAGUGCAAGUCAUCUACCCCCAGCUAGAUUGUAAGCUCCUUGAGGGCAGUCACC